UACGAAGGGGGCUAGCGUUGUUCGGAAUUACUGGGCGUAAAGGGCGCGUAGGCGGCCAUUCAAGUUAGGUGUGAAAGCCCUGGGCUCAACCUAGGAAUUGCACUUGAUACUGUUUGGCUUGAGUUCGGGAGAGGUGAGUGGAAUUCCCAGUGUAGAGGUGAAAUUCGUAGAUAUUGGGAAGAACACCAGUGGCGAAGGCGGCUCACUGGACCGAUACUGACGCUGAGGAGCGAAAGCGUGGGGAGCGAACAGG
rnacentral:rRNA from 1 species